UGGGACUAUAGCUCAGCUGGAUAGAGCGUCAGAUUCCGGAUCUGAAGGCCGGCGGUUCGAAUCCGCCUAGUCUCAUUUU
rnacentral:tRNA from 1 species